UUAAAGGUGCAAUCUGGGAUAUUUGCUGUUUAAUAUUUGGUGGUGGGCUAAUGUUGAGCUUUAACACAAAUCCCAGAUUGUAUCUUUAAGGUCCAAGCUGCCCUAAACUGCUGUUGUCAUGUUCAUUAGGGGACACAAUGGAAAACAUUUAAAUGUUGUGCAAUGGAAAAAGAAAACGGGCAUUUCAUAUUGGACAAGUCCAGGUGGUAGGUGGUAGGUCUAGGUGGUAGGUCCAGGUGGUAGGUGGUAGGUCCAGGUGGUAGGUGGUCGGUCCAGGUGGUAGGUGGUAGGUCCAGGUGGUAGGUGGUCGGUCCAGGUGGUAGGCUAGUCCCUCACUGUUUAAUUUUUAUUUUAUUUUUUAUUAUUUUUUUUUUUAUCACCUUUAUUUAACCAGGUAGGCCAGUUGAGAACAAGUCCUCAUUUACAACUGUGACCUGGCCAAGAUAAAACAAAGCAGUGCGACACAAACACAGACAGAGAUAAAACAUGGAAUAAACAAACGUACAGUCAAUAACACAAUAGAAAAGUCUAUAUACAGUAUGUGCAAAUUAAGUAAGAUUAGGGAGGUAAGGCAAUAAAUAGGCCAUAGUGGCGAAAUAAUUACAAUUUAGCAAUUAAACACUGAAGUGAUCGAUGUGCAGAAGAUGAAUGUGCAAGUAGGGAUACUGGGUGCAAAG
ensembl:lncRNA